CACUGCCAGUCCUUAAACGGUUCAUAGUUUGUAGAAGAAACACUGCUGUGAGUCAAAUGGAUGCUUACCAGCAUUUACCUGUCCUGGUAGAAACUCUGACAUCACGAAAGACAGACCACUCUUCGUGGAGCAAAUCACAGAGAAUAAGAAUGACUGGCACACAAGAUGAAAGGAACAUUGCAGGACCAUUUCUCAAAUGAAAGGAAAAAGAAAUCUAUUGUAAAAUGGAUGUUAUUUUCACAGUUUGCCUCCCUUCCUCCAUCUCUCCCUCCCCAUCUCUAUCU